rnacentral:rRNA from 1 species
GUGUUCAAAUCCGGAGAGGGAGCCUGAGAAAUAGCUACCACAUCUAAGGACGGCAGCAGGCACGAAAAUUAUCCACUGCUAAUUCAGCGAGAUAGUGACGAGAAAUAACGACCUUCGAACGAAGGGUACCAGUAAAAUGGUUUGGAAUGGCGGUAGAUCAAAAUUCUAUCAGAGUAACAAUUAGAGGAUUAGUCUGGUGCCAGCACCCGCGGUAAUUCCAGCUCUAAUAGUGUAUUUUAAAGUUGUUGCAGUUAAAACGCUCGUAGUCUAUCUAAAAGUUUACGCACCUUUUCGUUGCAGGAGUGAUAGCUAUCGUCAUUAGAAAUUUAGGUGAUGGUAACUGGAUCUUUUGCAGCUUCGGUAUCGGAGACUUUAAGUCAGUUCUAACUGGCUUGGGUCCGAGAUAUGGAUUGGUGACGUGAAUUUGAUUAUCAACUGUGAUCAAAUCAGAGAGAUUCAAUCAGGCAAUGAUGUUUGCAAAAACUUGCCCGAAUGGUUCAGCAUAGCACUGAAAUCAAGUCCCUUUUGGGACGAAACGAAUGGAAGAUAGGGAAAGGGAACAAGUAUUGUCUCGCCAGAGGUGAAAUUCAGAGAACGUGCCAAGACUAGCAGACGCGAAAGCGGUGUCCCGUCACAUCUUCGUCGAUCAGGAACGAAAGUUGGGGGAGCGAAAAUGAUUAGAUACCGUUGUAGUCCCAACCGUAAACUAUAUUGACAAGGGAUUGGCUUGAAACCUUUUUUCCAGAUCUCCUCAGAAUCUAAAGGAAACUGAAAGUUUUUGAAUUCUGGGGGGAGUAUGGUCGCAAGGCUGAAACUUAAAAGAAUUGACGGAAGAGCACCACCAGGAGUGGAAUUUGCGGCUUAAUUCGACCCAACACGGGAAAACUCACCAAGUCCGGAUAUUUUGUGGGAUUGACAGAACAAAGUUCUUUCAUGACAAGUAAGUGGUGGUGCAUGGCCGUUCUUAGUUCGUGGAGCGAUUUGUCAGGUUUAUUCCGAUAACGAACGAGACCUUAAUCUACUAAUUAGCUGCCAGCCUGUAAAAUGGUUAGUUUGUAACAAAACUGGUGUAGUGCGUAGCAAUACGUCGUUUCUUAGAGAGACAAUGUGCGUUUUAAAAAAUUAGCACAGGGAGGUUUAAGGCAAUAACAGGUCUGUGAUGCCCUUCGAUGUUUUGGGCAGCACGCGUAUUACAAUAUUAAUUUCAACAAGCAUAUCAUCCGCCUUCUCUAAUUCAAAAAAGAGUGGGAAAACUGAGAAUUAUUAAUGUGACUGGGAUAGCUGCUUGUAAUUGCAUCUUGAACGAGGAAUUCCUAGUAAACGUAAGUCAUCAACUUGCAUUGAUUACGUCCCUGCUCUUUGUACACACCGCCCGUCGCUCCUACCAAUGGAACAAAAUGGUGAAUUUGAAGGACUUGUCGUAAGGUAGGAAAUUUAGCUAAACCUUUUCGUUUGUAGGAAGGAGAAGUCGUAACAAGGUCUCCGUAGGUGAACCUGCGGAGGG